AUCGUAGAUGAAAGGAGCAGAGGAAACUAGCUAGUCACGGUCGUCUACGGUUUGAUGUCCGAGGGUUAAUUACUACACAACGGAGAAGCUAAAUAUAUCGUAUCGGUCCAUUUCUUCCAAGUCACGUUGCGGUUCCACUGUGGGAAGAAAGAAGGAAGAGAAUCUAGAGAUUAAUCGAGAAAUACGAAUUAUCCAAAACGAAGAAGAAGAAGGAUACUUCCGUGAGACGCAAAAAAAGGAAGAAUUUACGAUGGAAGAACGAAGACGAUAUAAUAAGAAUAAAGAAACCUUUAGAAGAUCUUUCGAAUACUGUUAGGGAAGAAAAAUGAUACCCUUUUUUUCUUUCGUUCCAUUCGACGUGUCGGGAUUUAUCAAGAUGAAAGAAUAAAACAAGAAGAGGAAUCAAUAUUCGAGACUUUUCCCAAAACAAUUUCUAUCUGGAACGCCACGCGUCUAAAUGCAUCCAUUUUCGAGAAAUCUUUUCCAACUAACCAAAUGUUUGCGAUGCGAAGUGUCGAUAACGUGGCAUUACGGCUAAGCAACUACCGGUUUGAUAAAAUGGAUAAAAUGGCAGCCACGCUCUACAAAUCAACGGAGAAAAUAUGUGUGCACGAUGCCAUUUCAUUGUUUUACUCGCUAAGCACUUGAACGGCGCGCGGACGAAAUCUUCUUUCCGAUAAAAAUCAUCAAUGACUGAAUUUUUCAUUUUGAGCAAAAGUGCACGAUGGUCUACGUAAAACGAGAACAAAUUUUAUUAAAACGUAGAAUUAAUUUUAACGUGCUAAAAUAUCUCUUUGUAAUCAGUGUAAAAAUAUUUAAUUCCAAAUCAAUUCAACGUAUAAUAUGUAUUGAAAAAUAAUUUUUAUCUCUCUUAUUAUUAACUAACCACUGAAUGAAAAUUCUAUCAAUCCCGCGAAAUCGGAACGAAAAGAUCCAUUUACAAAUUAUCGAAUUGAUUAUUUCUUUUCCACAAUUCUAUCGGAUUCUCCAUUUUUAUGCACAUACUUUUUCUCUUCUUCUCCAUCUCUUAACCAACUUUCUCUCCACGAUUUAGAUCACACGCAGUUAUUCAGUUAUCCAUUUUCCCGAGAGAUCAGGUCGAUAUUUAAAGAAAAUAUGACGUGUAUUUGUUCAUUGGAACGGAACACCAGUUUCACCGCGAACGAGAGAGAAUCGUUUAUCCAUUUAGAUAUAUUUUGUUGCCGAAAACAAUUGGGAUGGAAUAAUAAUCCAGAGAUUUCCUUUUCUCUUUCUCUUUUUUCCGAUGAGUUUCGAAGAGAAAGAGAGAGAGAGACAGAGAUUUCACUUGGCCAACCUUUUGGUUCCCAUCAUCCGCCAUCUGUUACAUUUUCAGAACACCUGUUUGCCGAGAGUAUUUAUCCGCGUUAACCAACACCGUACACUUCCUCGUUGGUAUCGUUGCAUAGCUGGAAAAGAAAAAUAAAGGAGCGAGAGAUAUAAUAAUCCGUGUAAUCGGUAGCCUCCAGACAUACGAAUAUUCGCCAUUUUGUCUAGUUUUAUGUAAUCGAGAUUUCACUCCGUCCUUUUUUUUUUUUUUACAUCUAGUAUUUCUUCUCGAGUUUAUUUUUUUGUUUUCCUUUUGAACAGAUGUAUUAUUGUAUCGUGCAUCGUUAUUAUGAAAAGGAAGAGAGAGUUGCAACUUGUUGCUUUGGAUCAGAUUUGGAAUAAGCAUCUUCUGCUUCUUAUUUCUUUAGGUAAAGAUCGAAGUUUGUUCAGGUAUAUUAGAUAUUUCAAAUGGUAGGAAUUUUGAAGUGGUUUUCGUUUUUGUUGGAAAGAAAGGAUUAAUGGAACGUUUCGAUUGAUAAAUUUUGAACGAUCGGUCUUCUACAACGGAUAGCUAAUUUCGAUUUGGUAUUUCAUUAAAGCAAUUCAGGUAGCCGUUUUUUCUUCAGAAAAAUUAAUUAAUAAAUAAAUUAAUUUUCUCGAAACGUUUACCAAGCGUAAGUUGAUUUAGAUCAGUAAAUUAUAAAUCUCUCGUUUAUGUAAUUUUUUUUUAUAGCGGUUAUAUGUAUGUAAGAAAACUAAUUCGAAGUAAUUACAGUCAGAAUGAUAUAACGCAGAUUUGAUUGAACGUUGUUUCAUUGAAAGUUUGCAAGUUUUUCGCUACUAGAAAAAGAUGUCAGCAAAUGAAAUUGCGUAGAAAUCAUUUCUCGCGGUAUGAGAUCGCAAGAAAUGGUAGCAAGGGUCAAAAUGACUUUCAGAUUACUUUGACGACGUUCGUAAUUUGGAUCUUUAUCUGAAAACCGUAUUUUCCUUGAAUAUUAUUGUUAAAAAUAGAACGAAAUCUAAACAAUAAUAUUUAUUUUGUUUCAUUGUUCAUUGACUGAUCAUCGAAACUUGCUUAAAAAUAUGUAACUUUUUGUUCUUUUUUAUAAGUUUAUAAAUCAAUUCAAUGUAGAUUGUUUGUAACAUAAAAAAAAACUGUGUAUUUCAAAGUGAUGAACUAAUUACAACCCAUUUGUAUUCCUGUGGUGUAGUUACAGCAAGUAAUAAAAAUAAUUGUAGUCAAAAUGAAGUCUAAA